rnacentral:rRNA from 1 species
GAUGAACGCUGGCGGCGUGCUUAACACAUGCAAGUCGAACGGAAAGGCCCAAGCUUGCUUGGGUACUCGAGUGGCGAACGGGUGAGUAACACGUGGGUGAUCUGCCCUGCACUUCGGGAUAAGCCUGGGAAACUGGGUCUAAUACCGGAUAGGACGAUGGUUUGGAUGCCAUUGUGGAAAGUUUUUUCGGUGUGGGAUGAGCUCGCGGCCUAUCAGCUUGUUGGUGGGGUAAUGGCCUACCAAGGCGUCGACGGGUAGCCGGCCUGAGAGGGUGUACGGCCACAUUGGGACUGAGAUACGGCCCAGACUCCUACGGGAGGCAGCAGUGGGGAAUAUUGCACAAUGGGCGCAAGCCUGAUGCAGCGACGCCGCGGGGGGGAUGACGGCCUUCGGGUUGUAAACUCCUUUCGCUAGGGACGAAGCGUUUUGUGACGGUACCUGGAGAAGAAGCACCGGCUAACUACGUG